UAAAUACCUACAAAUGUCCUAAAAAAACCCAAAAUCAGUCUCAGGACCCAUUUUUGGCCAAUUUCAGAAUUCCAGCACGACGGCUUUGCCAUGCUCCGGCGACGGCGCUGCCACCCGCAACGGUGGUCUGCCUCGAGUUGGCUAUUUUCGGCUGAAUUCGACUAACACGUUAAGGGACCUCGGUUAGCCCAAAAAAAUAAAAAAUCGAAACUCACUUGUGGCGGGGC
rnacentral:lncRNA from 1 species